rnacentral:rRNA from 1 species
GAUACAGGGUGACAGCCCCGUACACAAAAGCGCAUGUGCUGUGAGCUCGAUGAGUAGGGCGGGACACGUGGUAUCCUGUCUGAAUAUGGGGGGACCAUCCUCCAAGGCUAAAUACUCCUGACUGACCGAUAGUGAACCAGUACCGUGAGGGAAAGGCGAAAAGAACCCCGGCGAGGGGAGUGAAAAAGAACCUGAAACCGUGUACGUACAAGCAGUGGGAGCACAGGUUUACCUGUGUGACUGCGUACCUUUUGUAUAAUGGGUCAGCGACUUAUAUUCUGUAGCAAGGUUAACCGAAUAGGGGAGCCGGAGGGAAACCGAGUCUUAAUUGGGCGUUAAGUUGCAGGGUAUAGACCCGAAACCCGGUGAUCUAGCCAUGGGCAGGUUGAAGGUUGGGUAACACUAACUGGAGGACCGAACCGACUAAUGUUGAAAAAUUAGCGGAUGACCUGUGGCUGGGGGUGAAAGGCCAAUCAAACCGGGAGAUAGCUGGUUCUCCCCGAAAGCUAUUUAGGUAGCGCCUCGUGAAUUCAUCUCCGGGGGUAGAGCACUGU